AGCUUCGUGCAGCGGCAGUAUCAUAGCCAACGAGGUUUAUCCGAGGCUUGAUUAUUGCUAAUUGAAAACUUUUCCCAAUACCCUGCCAUGAUGACUUGAAAUGUAGUUGGCAUUGGCAAUUUUUGACAGUUUCUAUGGAGU
ensembl:snRNA U4 U4 spliceosomal RNA